rnacentral:rRNA from 1 species
AGAGUUUGAUCCUGGCUCAGAUUGAACGCUGGCGGCAGGCCUAACACAUGCAAGUCGAACGGUAACAUUUCUAGCUUGCUAGAAGAUGACGAGUGGCGGACGGGUGAGUAAUGCUUGGGAACUUGCCUUUGCGAGGGGGAUAACAGUUGGAAACGACUGCUAAUACCGCAUAAUGUCUUCGGACCAAACGGGGCUUAGGCUCCGGCGCAAAGAGAGGCCCAAGUGAGAUUAGCUAGUUGGUAAGGUAACGGCUUACCAAGGCGACGAUCUCUAGCUGUUCUGAGAGGAAGAUCAGCCACACUGGGACCGAGACACGGCCCAGACUCCUACGGGAGGCAGCAGUGGGGAAUAUUGCACAAUGGGGGGAACCCUGAUGCAGCCAUGCCGCGUGUGUGAAGAAGGCCUUCGGGUUGUAAAGCACUUUCAGUUGUGAGGAAAAGUUAGUAGUUAAUACCUGCUAGCCGUGACGUUAACAACAGAAGAAGCACCGGCUAACUCCGUGCCAGCAGCCGCGGUAAUACGGAGGGUGCGAGCGUUAAUCGGAAUUACUGGGCGUAAAGCGCACGC